rnacentral:lncRNA from 1 species
UUGUUUUGUUUUUUUUUCCCAAAAUUAUCUUUUUUAAUUGUACUUUUUUAAUAUUGAGUUAGUUAAAAAUUUCGCUUUGUAAUUUUUUUUCUUUAAAAUACUACGGAUUGCUCGGUGUUUUUCCAUAUGGUUUUUCUAUUUGAUUUUUUUAUUUUUCAAAAUUAUAUUUGUUAGUUUUAUUUUUUUUAAUAUUGAGCUAAUUGAUAAUUUAGUUUUGUAAUUUUUUUCUUUAAAACAUUGUUG